CAGCAGUCGCCGCGGGAAUACAGAGGGUGCGAGCGUUAAUCGGAUUUACUGGGCGUAAAGCGUGCGUAGGCGGCUUUUUAAGUCGGAUGUGAAAUCCCUGAGCUUAACUUAGGAAUUGCAUUCGAUACUGGGAAGCUAGAGUAUGGGAGAGGAUGGUAGAAUUCCAGGUGUAGCGGUGAAAUGCGUAGAGAUCUGGAGGAAUACCGAUGGCGAAGGCAGCCAUCUGGCCUAAUACUGAUGCUGAGGUACGAAAGCAUGGGGAGCAAACAGGAUUAGAUACCCCUGUAGUCCCUGUCUCUUAUAC
rnacentral:rRNA from 1 species